rnacentral:tRNA from 1 species
GGGGCAUUGGCUCAGCUGGUAGAGCGCUGCGUUCGCAAUGCAGAGAUCAGGGGUUCGAAUCCCCUAUGCUCCACCA